GUUUCAGCCGCCGCGGUAACACCAGCGCCUCGGGUGGGGAUCGCGAUUAUUGGGUCUAAAGCGUCCGUAGCAGGCUCGGUAAAUGCUUUGUGAAAUCGGCAGGCUUAACCUGCCGGCGCGCAGAGUAGACUGCAGAGCUCGAGUCCGGGAGAGGUUAGAAGUAUUCCUUGGGUACCGGUAAAAUGGGUUAAUCCAAGGAGGACUACCUAUGGCGAAGGCAUCUAACCAGAACGGAUCUGACUGUGAGGGACGAAAGCUAGGGGAGCAAAACGGAUUAGAAACCCCAGUAGUCC
rnacentral:rRNA from 1 species